AGUUCAUCUGAAAGCAGGCCUCUUUUGGGGUAGUUGGGAUUUAUGGGAAAUGAAAGAACAGCCUUGAUGUCAGAAUAUGUUAAUCAUCUUUUUGUUGUUCAUUUAGCAUUCUGUUUACGUGAUUAUGUUAAGUUACAUGGAGUGACACACCUACCUGUGUUUUCCUUUGCAGGUUCUGUUGCAUGGGAGAAGCUGACAGGGCGUGUGACCGAACCCAGGGUUCUUCCUGCAGUUAGCAAGACCACCCCCUGGACCCACCAGAAGAGCUUCAGAGUUCAAAGUUCUGGAAUAGCCCCCAAACACGAGCAGGGCUGUAGUUUUACUCCCCAUCAAGGAUCAUCCUCUUCAAAGGAACACGGGGAACUAAGUAUUUAAAGUCUUUAAAGUAUACUCCUGUCUGGUGUGAAUCACUACUUGCUUAUAAGUGUUCGAGAGAACAGCUUCCUAUAAGGACCGGUCGGGGGGUGGAGCAGGGGGAGAGGAAUGGACGUGAUAAAAACUGAAGAGUUCUGGGUUUUGUUUUGUUUCUUAGUUAGUGGCUUUUGGUUUCAUUUUGUUUCGUUUUUUUGGCAAAUUUUCCCUUUACAAGGUGAGAAUGACCGGGUGGAGGACAGACCCUUUUUGAUCUUCAGUAAUGGUUUCCAAUGACAGUGGUGCUUCUCAGGUUUGGCUGAGGUAGCACUUGGCAGCGGCUGAACUCCAAAAGCUCUCCCCUCUUCUCUUUUCCAAGAAAAAAAAGUUUUUCAACUUCCAUAUGAAGUUAUCUGGAGCAAUGAUCACAUAACUGGACCUCAAGGCAGAGCACCUUCGAAGGUGAGCUACGGUUAUUUCAUUUAGAGCCAGCCGAGGUAAAAUGUUUUUCUCCAAAGCUGUAAAUGCGUAAAGAUGUGUCCGUGGGGUUUUCUACAUGGUGCGCAUUCAGGGGCUCCCCCAGCAGGGACGGCUCUUAGCACCCGAUGUGGAAACCACCCAUCUCCAGUACUAGUGAGUGAUUAGAACAUGAAAUAGCAUCAAGAAAGCUUCUUGACAAAAUUACUCUUUGUGGACUGAAACAAAGGACACAUUUCCACUAGAACAGAAAUAAAUUUUAAUUCGUUGAAAAGUGCAGCAGUGAACAGGGUCCUUUGAAGGUCACUUUCUAAGUCAGAUGACUGAAAUGACAUAGAACCAGGCAAAGUAACUUCUAGAAACAGAUGAUGCAAACAAAGGAAUUCACAGACUCCAGUGGGAAGAAGGUGGUGGAAAAACUAAAGAACCCAAACAUUCCCAUCUAGUUUCAUUGGUGGGUCAGGUGAAAUACCUUCGCUUAAUAAGGAUCCUGGGACAGUUCUUUCGUUAAAAAAGCACUAGUCCUUAAUUUAGACACUUAAACAUAAAUUUAAGAACACGUUUUAAUACAUUAAGGUAUAACUUCCAUGCCUAAUUAUUUUGUAUUGACCAAAAAAAAAAAAA